UUUUUCAGUAGCUAGCUAUGCCUGACUGGAAGCUGAAGAGAAAACAAAUAUAAUUAUUUGUGUGAGAUUGAAUUUCAUUUCCAACUGAAAAUACAAAAUCUGUCACCUGCGCAUUCACUGUAAGCUGUGGUUGUGGGAUGCAGGAUGCUCCAGCAGCGAUGCUGGCGGGUACCUGAAUCAGUGUGUGUGUCCUCCUGUCCCACUGCCACCUGUGUCCCCUAAAAUGAAGGUCACCCGUGUGGCAGGACUUGGCUCCCUCCCAAAAAGUGUAGAGAUGGGAAAAGUGGGUCCCUAGGCAUUUGCACCGCAGGCAGCAAGCCUGCGUUUGGCUGCUUGGCUGGCCAAGCCUGCUGGAGCAAAAUCUCUAAGACCUUAAGAUGUAUGAAUAACAUUUGGCUUGAGUCCAUUUCCUCAGUGCCGGACAGCUUGCUGCUGAAUGAAGUUUUUUUUACUCAGGUCCUCGGAGUCAGACCCUUGCCCAGAUCCAGCUGUCCCUGGUAAUUAAAUUUUAAUGCCUCAAGCUGGGAGUUUGCAUUGGUUUUUAAAAGAGGCUGCAAGCGGUCUGCUGUGGUCACCUGCAAGCUUUGAAGCUCUCAUCUGCUGAUAAGGGGGAGGUCCUAACUCCUGAGGUCCUGGCUGAGCUGGUGUGACAGUUCUCCAGCCCCAGAAGGAGAACUAAGGGGAUUCCUCUUGUGCAGCAUUAAGCACAGCAACAGAUCAGAGCAGAUGUGGCUCAAUGAAACCAUCGUGCAGCUCAGGAUGAGUGAGGUGGCUACAGACAGCUUUGAAUAUGUGUGUGCUUGUGUGUCUGUGUACAAUAUAGCCGAAGAAGCCUCCACUGCUGUUUGUGCUGCAGAACAGAUGACUUGGAAAAGGCUCUCGAAGUUCUGGGACUUCACCCUGACAUGUCCUGGAUUUGAACAUCCCCAGGUCUGGAGGCUGCCUGCUGGCUGGUGUGGGCUUAUCUCUGCAGGAGGCAAGCUGAAGCGCUCCGUGCCAUUGCCAUGCUUUUUAAAUGAGGAGGAGAAGAGGAAAGCUGAAGCCUUUACUCUGCCUGUUGGAUGAAAAUUAUUUGUGGCUGAUGAACAGCUGAGUAGCAAUAUGCAAAUUCCCCUGGAUGUACAUAGAAUGGUCGUCUGUGGCACAGCAGCAUUAGUCUGGCUGUAGGAUGAUUCACAUGCCUGAAGAAUAAAAGGUGCUUCACCUCAAAUAAUACCGUUUUUGUGCUUAUUGUUAUCGCUGUGAUUAAACCUCUGCCACUGUCUGAUUUUGGAGACUGGUGAACAUCAGCCGUUCUUAGAGACAGCAGAGCCAGAAUUACCUAUGGCUGCGGAGGGGAUCUGGGACAGUGCGGCUAAGGAGAGCACAGUGUGUUUCUAAGUGGGCUACAGAACAUCAUUAUCAUAUUUCUUCUGGAACCUGCUUUCUGGGCUGAAAUACAGAAUGGCUUCCACUGAAGGUGUGUAUAGAAUCAGAGGGCUAUUCCACACCUGUAAACUGGACAACCAUCAUGGUGCCUAUGGGAUCUGUUCAGGCCACAUCUAUUAGGAACCUGGCCUGUGCAGCCCAGAAGACAGCUAGAGAUGGAUGGUGCUGGCGUGCGGCCACUUCGGAAGACAGAGCUGGAUCAGCCUGCCGGGGACAGAGGCAGACAAAUGGAACCUGCAGGACAAGCAUGCCAUUACCUUGUUUGCCAAACUCAUUACAGAGAAGUUGCAAAGUUCCAGUAUGCUGCCCCUGGCCUCCGAGACAAAGCUGUCAGCUGGUUCGUGAAUAAUUCCAGGCCACAUUCAGGCAGCCCGUUGUCGCUUGGCGCCCAGCAUGCUGCAGGUGAAAAUGGAAGCUCCAGCCCCAAGGAGGAAUAAUGCUGACCCCCAUCAGCACCAGCUCCUCACACUCAGCAGAGAUCAGGUGCUCUGGGGUAAGCUCCUGAGCAAUGUUUAAUUUCCCUCACUUCGUUCCACAUCUGUCUAACAGACAGUAUGUAACUAUAAUUUGGCCCAACAGGUUACGUGUGUGCAUGGUGGCAACAAGAAAGCUCUUCUCAUGUUUUGCUUCAUGGGCCAAAUUUCACCCUGUUCUUCUGGGUCCUUCACAGACACUGUGUGGGAUUCAGAUUCACUGCUCCCUAACUGUGCUUCUCUGUGGUGCCUGAGCUUUGUAAUUGUGAUUUUAUUUUAUUUAAGAGUGACCCAGAAGCAUCAUACAUCCUCUUGUUUUCCACUUGGAGAACUGAGGCACAGAAAAGCUGUGAAAAAUUUCCACUGAGGUUUCUUUUUCUGAACUUGAAAAUUGAUGAGACCGAUUAUUUAUUUGUUUACAGCACUCAUCUCUCUAGCUGAUUUUCACAGCCUUUGCUAUGUUCACAUCUACAAAUCCGGCCCUGGAUAUCUCAAAUUGUGAAACAAUUUACCAUGGAAAAGUUAAGUCCUUGUUUGUCUCAAGGUUUUGUGACAAAUGACAUCAGGGUCUUAUGCACCUGGGUCAUCUUCCCAUUAGAGUCCUGAUCCAUGGCCAGAACACCCCCUUGCUCUGUGCUGAAGGAAGGACCCCGGGCCCUGCUGUGAACUGCUUCUGACAAUUAGCAGUGAUUUCGAAGGUGUUACUGCCCUCCUGCAUUUGGCUCAAUGUCUGUUCCUCAAAACCCAGUUAAGUGCGAGGGCUUUGGUGACAGUGUUGUAGGGGACUACAGUUCCAUUUUGAGACAUUCAAGCAGAACCUCACUGCCUAAGCCCAGGGAUGAUAAAUGGGAAUUUUGUCAAAAUCUUGUUACUGAAACUGCUGGCUUAAGCUUAUAAUGUUUCCUGUCUGAUUAUGUACAUGGUUGGAGAGUUAAUUUACUCUGUAAUUAACUGCUUGACUGUUUGCCCUUGCCAAUCUUCGUUCCCUAUGUUGUCUUUUAUGACAAGAGGCUUAGUUUUCCAAUGUGCAUUUCUAUUUCGUUUGUGUUCCUGCUCCAAGACACCACAUUGCUUGUUGAUGUUUCAGAAGGUGGCUGAUGCAGCCUGCCUGGUUGCAGUGAUCUGUGCCAUACUGUGAGUGUUGUUGGGCCACUGAGGCAAAGACUUUGCUGAUGAUUGCUUUUUCUUCUCUCAAGCCAGGUUCUUGCUUGAAUUUUGUGCAUUCAGUGCCCUGUGGAGUCUGGGUUGAACCAGAACAGGGAUUUCAAAUGUCCUGGGACUUCGUGAUAGCUGGGAAUAGCCUGUGGAAGAUGACAGCAGAACAGAACCCUGUAGCUCAGUACUCUUCUCCCUUCUUAAACUCCAACAUAUGUUUUUUAAAACCAAUCUAACAGCUUACCUCAGCAGCUUUGAAGCCUAUCCAGCCUCUUACCCAUGUUCCUCUAGCUUCUCUCCUCUCUGAUACUGAGCAUGUCACUACAUCCUUCCUCAGCUGCUUCUUCUGUGUCUGGCUUUCAGCUGCUCCAGGCUAUGAUGAGCCACCACGCAUGUCUGCCAGCAAUUUCAAAGGAUUUCUGGAAUGUCAGUAUCAUUUGGGAUGCUUUUAUCCAGAGAUGUAUUGUCCACAGAAGGGCUCCUGUGAGUUAGAAGGCACCAGGUGACAUUUUCAAAAUGGUCUGUGUAGCAUAGGAUCUCAGGUCCCAGUGAACACCAAUAAAGAAGGGUGUCAAUCACUGACGUGCAAUUUGAAAUCAUUGCCUGUUAUCUCAAAGAAAUGGAGACAAAUGAUGAAACACCAGUAUGCAAGGAUUUGCAUUUCUGUCCUGUUGUCCAAACCAGAAAAUUAUGGGUUUAUGUAGACAGCAAAGUUGUUGUGUGCUGUAGUUGCUGAAUGAGUUUGCUGUUGGAUAGGAAGUGUGGUUUAGUGAGAAAUAGCUGGGGGAUGGAGGCUUGGGAUGGAGUGAAAUUUUGGUUAUCCAGUGGACUAAUCAGGAGGCUGAAAUCAUAGGAUCAUGGAAUCACUGAGGUUGGAAAAGAUCACUAAGAUCACCAAAUCCAACUCAUCCCACUAUGCCCACUAAUGAUGUUCCUCAGUGCCACAUCUCCAUGUUUCUUGAAUAUCUACAGGGAUGGUGACUCUACCACCUCCCAGGGCAGCCUGUGAGAGUGCAUCACCACCUUUCUGAGAAGAAAUUUUCCCUAAUAUCUAAUCUGAACCCCCUCUGGUACAACUUUAAGCAUUUACCUCUCGUCCUAUCACUGAAUGAUGGCUUUCAGGACAUACUCUUCCUCCGCAGAAGAAACAGACCUCUAAAGCUAUGGUUUCUCUCCAGGACUGCCAGGGACUAAGCUAUAGACCAUGGGUUGUGUGAACAUGAAGCUGCUCUAGAACUGCUUCAUGAUAAACUAAAAUAGCUAAGAGCCUCUCCCUGCCCCAGCAGCAGUCACACUCCACUGAUGAAGUGCAGCAUUGCAGGUUGGGAGCCAGUGAGAGGGCUGCUUCAACAUCUGAGCAGGUGGAGCAGAGGACGGCUAGAAACCUUCCAGCUAUGGGAAAUCUGAGUCAUGGAAGCCAUUGGAUAAAUUUAAAUACAUUAUUCUAGCUUGGAGGAGGAAACCAUCUGGGUAAGUAGAGGGACACGUGUCUAACUAAGGGAAGAGCCCUUUCAAAUGACAGAAGAACUGUCCUAAGCCUGAAAAUCUGGCAGACCCAAGAUAAAAAGACCAGUUUGUAUGUUACUGAUGUAAUGUAUGCAUUUCAAGAAUCCAGCUAUGGGAAAUAAUAUUCAAACAUUUGAAAAAGAAUGAUAAAAGAAUUUUGCUGGUAUUUGCCAGCUGUAUGAAGCAAGAAGGCCUGGAAAUUUCAUCAGAACAUCACAUUAUAAAAUCUCUUUUAAAAACUUUUGAAAAGAUCUUGUGUUUGAACUGCAAAUUCCAUGACAGCUCUGCUUUAAACAAAAAGCUGGGAAAGUAAUGGGAAAAUCUCUCUGUGGUUGGAUUGCAGUGGGCUGAGGCUGGUAAGGCAGUCUGGCUUUUAACUUGGUUUAGAGUCAACGCUCUGCUCUGCAACCCAGCUCAUCCCUGUGGGUUGAGGGUAAUGGUCAGGGGACUGAGUGGUCUCCUCGUGUCUGCACCCACUGCCACAAGGUGCAGAGCAACCAGCCUGGAGCUCUCUCUCUCUUGUCACUGGCUUCAAGUGACGUGCAAGUGGGAAUGCAAGAUUUGAAAAAAUCCAGUAAAAGUUACUGCUGCAAACUAUGCCAAGACCCAUAGGGCUUCCUCCCCACCUUGGCUUUAGACAGUAAUGGCAAUCUGAAGUUUUAUUAUAUUGUUAUAUUGUCUCCAAGUCCUGUGGUAUGGGCUCAUCAUUGCCAUCUUACAGAUGGGGUUGCUGAAGCAUAAAGAAUUGAAAUGACUUCCCUGGAAUCAUUAGGUGGGCAAAUGGCAGGGCUAAAAAUAGAGUCCCAGUAUCCAGCCAUUCAAGCAACCCGUCGCCGUUCCUAACUUGGAGGAAGGGUGCCAAUGAAGUUAGUUAAAGCAGGUAACAGUUACUCAGCUGCAUGCAGUACUCAGUCCUCUUGGUAAGAUGUCUUCCCAAGUACUCCACCUAAAUCGUUCUGAUAACCCAACACUUUUUUGGAGAAAUAUAUUGACAGGAAAAACAGCGAGCCACAUAUGGCUGUACUGUCCGUCAGUCAUAAGAACCCUAAUGCGUUCAGAAGUUCCAAAUGCCUUUUAAAGCUAAUGGUCUGUGCACUAAUAGCUCCUGGCCCUGGCAUCCAGGCUAGCAGCUGGUGCCACUAAUUGGUAGCCCCGAGGAUGAGCACGUGUGCGGUAGGCAGGCAACUGGAUUUCAGGAGCAGCAAAAGGAUUGGGAUUCCUGCCUUGCUAAUCCUGCCGUUUGGCGUGCUCUUUAAUCAAGAUGAAAAGUCAAGAGACCGCGAGGGGCUAACAAACAACAGCUUUGGCCGAUUACAGGAGCCCAGCUCACGCAGACCUGACAGGCAUCGCCUGGAACGGGCAGGCCAGUAACAGCUUGUAAACCCGCCCCAGCUGCAGCUGCUCUUCUUCCCCAACGGUGUCUGCCGGACAAUGCUGGAAAUAGCAUCAGAAGAUAAUAUGUCUGUCUGGCCUUUUUGGGGAUGCAGGAUCUGUUAUUUGAGGGGUGGAUGUCAAGUCGUAUAAAAGCAUCCAAACAUCUCCAGCUAAGCCCAGCAGAAGUAAACAGGCUGCCUGACAUGGGUCUAAGAAAUCGUUAGCAUCACUCUUCCUCUCUCUGGUCUCUGCCUUGUGCAGUGCUGGGGGGGCAACUUUGCAAGGCAGAAAGAGCACAAGCACUAAAAUAGGUGAAGGAUGUUGUCAGAGGGCUGGAGCCAUUCCAGGAGGUGCCAUGCACUGCUGAUGCCAGCAGAGAGUGACCCAGCCUGUAUCCAACAGGCAGUGUGGGAAGAUGGUGUGAUGUCUGAGCGGUGCAAAGCAGUGGGUGCUACCUGUUCCCUUGGUGGCAGGAAGUUGCAAGGCAUCCUCUGAUGUUUCUUUUGAAUCCUGAUAAUUAAGGUUUUGAUGCUCCCUGUGAAGCCUAACAGGUAAUCUGGAGUGAACCUAUCUGAGCACCGUCUUUGUCCCUUGAGAGUCAGUGGACCCAUAUCUGGGAGCUGCAGAGUCCCUGCAGUGGCUGAGUGUCUUCUUCUGAUGCUCUGCAGGUGGUGUAGGUCACUCCGGUCUCCUGGAUAAAUCAGGGUAACUCCAAACUGAAAAUCGUUUAGGGUGAAUCUUCCUGCUGUGAUGACUAAGGAUUUGUAGACCCCCGUACCAGUCAGAUCUCAAAGCUCUUUCUGUCAGUUAAUCUGUCUUGAUGGAUCCAGAUCAUACAAAGCGUCACAGUGAGAUACUGGAAGAGAUCACCAGCUCUAAGCAUUCACAUGAUUAACCUUCCCACCACUCCCCAGAAAUAUCCUUUCCCAUUACACUUGUGUCUGAGACCAAACCUUGCUCCAGAUGGCAGUGGGCUGAGAUGAAAUUUUACUGCAGUCAGAGCUCACGGAUACACAAAAGAGGAGAAAUGUGCAAAAUCGCAAUGACAGGGUUGUUUGGGUAUCUUGUGAUGUUCCAGCUUUAGAGAAAUCCAUGCUUAAUGUGCCUGCAUGGCAAGGUAAACUAAAGACCAUAUAAUUCUAUUAAAUCCUAACAUAGCAGAAGGAGAAAACCCAUGUCUCCUGGCCUCCUUGUGUCUGUGAGCAUUAGGGCAUGCUUUUACACGUGUUGCUUAAUCACUGGAUGCUGAAGAGUUUAGGAUAAAGUCUCCUUUUGAUUUGGCUGCUACAGAACUUGGGGGAAUUGCCUCUGCAUUACUUGUACUUUCAUUGGGCCGUGCCAUGAUCCAGUGCAGUGUGGUUAUUCAGGGGUACAUGGAGGAGGAAGAUCUCUCUGUUCUUUCUUCUGCUGCUGUGCUGCUGUAGAGGAAUCUCACUGUUUGUUUUCCUAGUCAUGAGACUGUGCGUGAGAUGGAGGAUGAAAGCCCCUUCCAGAAGGCAAAUUGGAGCUAUGUAUAGACUUUGUUUCACGCAGUAACAGGAUGAGAAUCUGGCAUUUGGAGUGCUGGGGUGAGCUGCUCAUCUUGGGCAUGGCAGGCACCAGUGGGUGGUGUCUUGUGAGCUCAAAGGAGAGUAAGGAAGCACUUCCCACUCAUGAGAUGUGCUGCAGUGCUUUGUGCGUGUGGUGGUAAGGGUGUCUCAUGGGGGCUGAAGCCCUAACUGGGACAACUGGGAGCUGGUAGAGCUCCCAAACCCACCUCUCCCUCUCCCCGGGUCCACCUUUUUUCUUUCUUUUCUCCAACCUGUUCUUAAUAUCCUAUUUCCAAUCCUGGAGUAUGUUGGAGUGUUUGAACUUAGAAAAUAUACCCUGUUCUAUUCAGUGUGGGACUUCUGAAUAGGUUAGCUGCAUUUUGAUACAGCAUCAUCUGCAGCAGUGCAUUGAGGUUUAGAGCCUUGUAUAUUAAACAUGCCAGCAGAUACUUCUCACAAUAGCUGCCUCCUCUUUCUCCAUGUAUGAAUAAUGCAGGGAGUUCCAGAUCAUCUGUCCCUGUCAUUGCUGCUGCAUAUUGAUAUAGUCACAAAGACUAACUGUUAGAGAGCAAAACGUGUGAGGAUGUUCCCUGACCUUUCCCUUCUCCCACCAGUAAAUCCUAUUUUUUUCUAUGGAGGCAACAAGCACUAUCUGCUGGCAGCAGUGUUUUGGUGAUCUGUGUACAACCAAACACAGGGCUGAGUAGUUCUCAGGAAGGUCACGUUAGUGUGGAUCUCAGUGAUCCUCUGACUUAUUUCUGUGAUCCUCUUUUGUGCCAGAUAGCAAAAUCGAAUUCCCCUUCCUGUCUCUGAUCUCUGUCUCAUGUCACUGCAGGGUACAGGUAUCCUCCACCAGGCACAGCCCCACCUGCAGUGCUGCAGGAGGGCACAGAGGGGACUUCAAGGGAUCUGGGGGGUUUUAGUCCACCCCGUAUAGCUGAACCUCAGGGGGCUCCCAUAGGCUGACCUUGGUUUUCAAAGUCUGAGUCUAUGGAGGGACAAAGAGGCAUAUGCCUCCUAUAACAGCUUUCCUUGUUGAAGAGGUAGGAGGGAGCUGUGAGGCAACCCUCUCUUACUUGCUGAAGAUUCAGGCUUAUCUGGGAGCCUGCAGGUGUCAGAAGUGGAGCGGAUGGCACUGCACCCCUUUGCACUGCUGUCCGUGCCAACAGGGCUGGCCCUCCUGGAUGCUCACAUAUUUGUUAGGAAAAGUGGAUCCAGAGGUCCCUGCUACAGCUGGCAGGCACAGCCACCACCUGUCUGCAUAGGCAAAUGCUGGCAGUUGCUGUUGCAAUGCUCCGCUUCCCCUCUCCCUGGAAGCCACAGUGCAGCGCUGCCUCCUAUUCCAAACACCAUUUUAUUACAGCUCCUCCUAAAGCCUGUUGUUUUCUCAGUGUGGAUGGCAGCGACGUGAGUUUGGCUCAGUGUGGCUCUUCCCUCUCUUGUGCAUUGCUGUGGGUGAGAGUGAGGAGAUCUGUGUCCUCAGGGGGCAGCUUGGCAGAAAAGGGACCUUGCUGGGGAACGCACACUGGCACCCACAGGCGAGGGGUGCUGGGAGCUAGAGCCUAGCUGGCAGCUGGGUGGAAGUGAUGGUGGCUUCUUGUAGAGAGGCACUCUAGGACCUUAUGGAAUGAUGAGGACAAGGACUGAGUCUCCCGGAGCUCUUCCAGGCACUGGUACACUGUAGCCCCCAGACAGAUGUAAUUGAUGAGACAUCCCGCUGUAUGUAGUAAUGGGUGUUGUGUGACUCACCCUAAUGAACAAAAACAAUGCCACGUGCCUCCUAAUGGGACUUCUGGUCUUCAUGUCCCAGUGUUUGCUAUGAAUUAUUUAAGGCAUCAGGAGGGAUCUGUGAGUAAUGACAUCUCUGCUGAUUAUGUUUCACCUCAGAUGACUCCAGGAGUCUGCUUAGCAGUUCAGGUCUGUUUUGGUCCUUCACUGGUGGAUCUGCCAGCUUGCAAAUUUCUCCAAACUCUUAUUCUCUGCUUUCCUUUAGCUCUUGAUUAGGUCUGUCAGAAAAGGAAGACAAGCAAGUUAGCUUUUAAAUCUGAGGACAGUAGCGAUAUUCGCGGCAGGAUCUUAUUCAGGCAAGUGUGUGAAGAGUGUGCAAGGUGUGCACAAGAGCCUUCUGCAAUUCAUGCUCCUGGACCUCACAGGCCCUCUCCCUUUUGUUGUAGGCAGAAAGCCCUGACUCAUGGCAAUCCAAGCUUCAGACAAAGUUGGUUGGAGCACCAUGAUCAUAAACUCCAUCAUAGAUUGGCUAUCAGCAGGAUGGAGGAAGAAGUAUGUCAUAACUUCUGUAACAGACUGCAAAUGCUUUGGCCAAUGGAUUGAUGUGCCCUGUGAUUUAACAGGUGGCUGCAUGCUUCGCAGAUGAAUCGAUAUGGAGGAAGAAAGCCCUAAUUUGCUGCAACCUUUGACUUUUCAAGUCAUGACCAAUGGAGACGUUUCAAAAUCAUGGCUCAGAGGUACCUGGCAAAGCUCCCGUGGUGCUGCACCUUGCUGUCUCCUGCACUGAGCAGCACUGGAUGGACUAGGAGUGGCCAUCUACGUUUUUUAUUUGCAAAAACGGAAUCCCUUUGAGCACAGCCAAACUCUUCUCUUUGAGAUUCAACAUAGCCAAACUCUUCUUCUUUUUUAAUCUCUCCAUCUGCAAAGCUUCCCAAAUACUUCUGUAAGCAUUAGUUGUUGGGAAAAGAUUGGGUUCUAGCCUUGAUAAGUAGGCUUGCACAGUGCUCAUGGUGGUUGCAAUACCACCAUCUGCACUGCUAGUGAUUGAUAUCUGACAGUCAGAAUAAAUUCUCUGUAUCUGUUAGGCUGACAGAGUCAGAUCUACCCCUGUUAGUCUUCUGCAAGUGAGAGCCUCUGGAGCUCCAUGAAUGUGCACAAAUAUGAAUCUGAAGCAUCACCAUCCUUGCAUAGGAGUAUGGACUCAAUGAUCCUUAUGGGUCUCUUCCAACUUGGGAUUUGCUAUGAUUCUGUGAUUUUAUGAGUUCAAUUGUACAAGUCUAUGUAAUUAAGCAAAAGCUUCUCCUUACAAACAUCAUUUGUAAAUGCUGAUUGCAUUCAACUGAGAUGUGAAAUAUCUGUUGACAUUAACCCAAGCUUUGGCCCAGGUGAGGAGCAAAGCUCGUAGAGCUGCUCAUGGAUUUUCCUCACAUUGAAGUGUUAAAGUUGAGAAGGACUGGAAUGACUGGUACCCACUGGGAUUGCCUGGUUCAUCAGGUGCAACAUGGGCUCAAGCUUGUCUGAACCUUGAUGAUAAGCUCUCCUUGUUAAAAGCUAUUAUAUUUGUUACUAGCUGAGUAUAAUUCUGCCUGACUACCGCAGUUCUCCUCUGCAUGUAAUUGAAUUCAUAUUCAUCAUAAAGCAAUGAAAAAUAAAUUGUGUGUGUGUUUUUUCCCCCUCAUAAAGCAAGGCAUGCCGCUGGCUCUGCCUUCUCUGUAAUCUUCCCUUUUGCAAUGUAUUGUAAUAGAAUUCAUGGGAACAGAACAGUUGAAAUAGAUUGUGCAUUUUUGACCCACCUAGCAGAAAGAGAGCUUUAUUUCAGUGCUGAGGAGGAAUUGAUUAAUUCACUUUUCUUCAGGGGAAAGCUAAAACCUUAGUUUGAGAUGCUUCAGUGCCAAAGAAGAGAGCUUACUCAGCUGGAAGCUAAGGUGGUAUUGCAGAGGUCACUAAUCAGUUGUUUUGAGUCUUAGGUCUUAAAGGCUUUAUGCAGAGUUUUUGAGUUCCAGCCUCAGUGGCUCAUGUGUUUCCAGCAGAUGAAGACUUUCAAAAGACCUAAAGACCUGCUAAAAUCAUAGAAUCAUUAAGAUCAGAAAAGACCGCUGAGAUUAUCUAGUCCAACCCCAACUCAUCCCACCACCUCCACUGACGGCGUCCCUCAGUGCCACAUCUCCAUGGUUCUGGAACACCUCCAGGGAUGGUGACUCCCCAAUCCCCCUGGGCAGCUGUGCCACUGCAGCACCACUCUUUCAGAGAAGAAAUUUUUCCUAAUAUCCAACCUUAACCCUGUGUGCAGUGCUGGUGGGAUCAGCUCAAGGAACCCAUUGGCCCACAGUUAUUGGCUAUUACCAGGGCAGUGACACCAAGAUGGAUGGGAAAGAGAUGUGCCCUGGGGACCAUACUCCCAAGAUACUUCAAAGCUGAGGGCACAGGACACUGUUGUGUGGGGUGUUCAUAUCCUGAGGCCUUGUUCCUGUCCUGGCACUGAUGGCCUCCAUGGCCUUUCUCUGCCAAAUAGACAUCAUCCUCUGAAGGAGACAGCAAAAUGUUGAUGCCUCCUAAAUUCUUUUAAAAAUGCUCUUGCCUGCACAUCCCACGCAUGACAGCAGGUUGGUGGGCAGCUGGCCAGCUGGAACCCUUGCACCACCCAUCUUUCUAUAACCUUUUCUUUUGUUUCCCUGUGUUUGAAAGGAUCCAGAAGCCAGGAUCGUACGGUGCCUGUGAGUGGGGCUGCUGCUGCGCUGCGAAGGCCUGUCUGAAAGGCUCUGACAGGAAGAAAAUAUGUUUUCUGCAGCCCCUGGCUUCCUGCCAGCUGCACGAUAGCUGCUGCGGAGACAGACUAGCCCAGACGGUCCUAAUACAUCAUAAUAUUAAUACUGCUAUUUUUGUCUGUACAGCUUUUGAGAUAGCAUCAUCAAAACUGGACACGGUGCUCAGCAGUUGGGCACUUCCAGCACUGCAGGGUAUCAGAGAACACCUACGAGAAACCAGAAUGUGAGCUGGGCAGUAGGAGCCCUGAGGCCCAUCUCCUGCACACUGUGGCAGUGAAGGGAAUUACCACAAAGUCAGCGUUGGAAGUGUCUGGCCUUCCAAGGUUGGUUGAGUUUGAUGCUUAGGAUGUAGUGACAGAGCACCUGGGUUUUCCCAUGAUGUCACCAGAUGGAUUAACUUCAAAAGGAUCAGCCAUCCUGAUCCUCCUACCCUGACCUCACCAGCCAUGUACAGACACCUGGCUUCCACAGCAGCACAAAGAAACCAGCUCUUAUCCUCAGAUGCUUAAACUGAUUGCAUCCCUGAUCCGUUUGGUCAGCCUCUGAAUGGCACUUCCCCUUGCUUGAGUCAUUUAAUCACCGCUGCCAAUCAGCACUAUUGAGCAGAGCAACAAUACGUCUCAAAGCUCAAUCACCUUCACAAUCCUCUCACUGUCAGCCCAUGUGUCUCCCUGCAGGGCAGAAUUACUGUAGAUGAGAUGCAGGGUGGUUUUGUAAUUGAAAUGUUCGCUCAUAUGUGCGUGUGUCUCAUGAGGACGCGUGACUAUGUGUAUAUACAUGGGUAUGUGUGCCGUGCUUUGAAAUGCAGACUAAGUGUUGGGGGGCAGCGUGCAUUCAGAAAGGAAAUUAUGCAUUGAAACUGCAUUUGCAUCUUCUUAACUAUUCAGUCAGCUGAGAAAUACACUGAGAAGCAGCAGCAGUGCGCAAGGCUUGCUGUGACACUGAGCUGCACUCGUGUGCUCAGCUGAGUGGGCUCACAUGGGCAUGAGAGACAAUCACAGAAUCAUUGAUGUUGGAAAAGAUCACUAAGAUCAUCUGGAGACCCUGUGCAGGGACGUCUUUUGGUGCUAGAUCUCCUCAUCGUCAUCACAUGGCACAAGCCACUCACAUUCCACUUCUGAAAUUCAGCAACUUGCGCUGGAAAUUGGCUUGUGAGGAGAGGGGCCUUGGGGAACCGGCUCAGCUUGGUGAGACGGGCGGUCCCAGCUCAGUGCUGGCCGCCCAUGGCCCAGGGAGGUGGGGAAGUGUUCCUGCCUGCCUUCCCAUCUCUUGCCCUUUCCUUCCCAGAAAAAUCUCUGAAGUUUUCAUUUCCACCUUCAAUCCAAAUCAAAUUUCAGACUUCAAAUUUCAAAUUUCGGCUCAAGAAAUGGUGAUUUUCCAUUCCCAUUCCUCAUUCCUUUUCAGCUUUGUCCCCUGCUUUCUCUCUGCUUCACCCCUCCUGAUAUUCAGCAGCCGGAGACAAACCUUUGUGUGCUCUGUGCUCUGGAGCAGCCUUCAUAAACACUGCCUUUGCUUUCUGGGAAAGUCCAGCAGCAGGGACACGUGUUAGCUCUGGGUCAUUCCAAGGGGUACCAAGUCCUGCAACCCUUAAGCUCAAUGGCGUUGCUGGGAUCAUUGGUGUUUGACCCUGUAUGUAGUGUAAGGCUAAUGGUAUGUAAUGCUCUGUUGUGAUUCAUCAAUCAUGCAUCUAGAUACUAAUUAUAAUCCGCCUCUUAUGUAUGCCACUAGCCUAUAAUUUUAAUCCCAAACAUUUGUGUGUGUAAUGAGGCAGUGCUUUUGUGCCUUACAUCCUGGUGUAAGCCUGUGAUUUGCGCCAUGCUGGAAAUACAAAAUCAAAUAAGAGGGAAUAAAAAUAAAACAGCGGAAAACUUUUGCCCUUUGAAUUUGACAUAUAAAAAGUGUUGCGAUGACUUCAAAAUUUGCAAAGCAAACAACUGAAUGUGCAUGUGUCUGCAGCCAUGUAUAUCAAGGUAACUUUCAAAGCCCAGGCUUUCUUCGCAGAUGCUCAACAAAGCAAGUCUUGAUAUCUGUUGACCCAAGGGGAAGGCCGUGAGCAGGAUCAAACUGGAGUUGUUUCUGCCUUUGAUUUACCAGGACAGAAUGCGAGCACGGCUGCAUGCACAUGGAGCUGCUUCCCACUGGCUGGGCAUUGGUCCUGGGGGCUCUCAGCAAAAACUUUGCUGCCUCUGUUGGAAACUUCUGGACUGCACACAGCCAGUGCUGGGGCCUGAGGGGUGUGGGGUGGUUUGCUGCACACAUUGUGUUCAAGGUACAGAUACUUGGUUGUGCUAUCUGUAACAAGGCGAUUCCUGCAACAGCUAUACUAGGGCCUGAUGGCCGUGUGAGCUGGUGGACUGUGGGACAUUUGGGAUGGAGAUGGCUGAAGAAGUGGGAGCUGUCAGGAAACGUGCUCUUAUACCAAAUCAGGAAAAUGCUCCACAAGGUGAAAGGUCAUCCUGAAGAGUCCAGGGGUUCUGGGCACCUUCCCUGUAAGGAAUGGUAGGAAAUGAAUUGUAGGAAGUGAAUGGAAUGGAGGUGUCUUUCUGAUAGCUGGAUGACACAACAAGAAAGGGAUAUGAGCAAGGCCAGUGAGUACAAGGGCACACACACAGCCCUGUAUGCUGUACCCUAUAAUGUCAAUGCAAUGUCAGCCACUGGGUGCUCAUGAGCUCUGGGUCAAGUGUUGAGGCUGCAGUGAGGAAUGAAGGGCUCUAAGUGCUUGGCUGUGCUCUUCUCAUGGCUUCUGUGGGUCUGAGGGAAAGAAAAUCCAUGUCUGUGCUGAACAACUCAUCAUUUUAACAGGCAAGUGAACUAAACAAGUAUGUGGGGAGGGAGAGGCGUAUGCUUUGUCAGUGUAUGUUUUUCCUAAAGAACAUAUUUGAUGAAAACCAUCAGAGAGAACGAGCAGGCAGCAAAUAAAAAAAAACCCCAAACACAGGCAUUGCAGUGCUGGAAGAAGAAACCAUCUUUCCUUGGAGAAUGAUACUGUGGAAGAAAAGAGAAGGUACUGAGAGGGAAACAAUUGAUGUUAUAUGCUUUAAAAUAGCUGCAAAAGAAACUAUUCCUUUUGGCUGCUUCUUCAAGAAAGGUAUCUUGGAUGGAUGCUUUCCCCUGUAAUGAAAAUUAUAUGAUUUCCUCUUGCAGAUUGGAGCGGUGCAGUAUUCAUGUAGGGAGUAUUUUGAUGUCUUGCAUGGGUCAUUGAAAAACUGCCUGGAAAAUUGGAUCAUGAGCUACAGGGAACAUUCCUGCUGCAGCAGGAAAAUGCUCUGGAUAUAGCAAGUGACCGAAGGGUUCUGAAAUACCCUACAGUAUGCAGUAAUUGUUUCUACUUACAGCCACAGAAAUAUAUUUUAUUUUCCCUCCCUGAUUUUUUGUUGCUUUUUAAUAAUAGCCUUUCCUUCACAUUCAAUAGCCCUUCUUAUACUUCCAUUUUCCCUCUAUAUUAAGACCUGAUGAUCCAUUAAGGCAAAUCCUAUAUUUCAAAUUGCAUCUAAAUUGAUACUUCAGCAUGGUCCGCCUGCCUCAAAAACCGCUUCCAUUCUCUUCUGCUGGAGAUCAGAUGGAUUUUUUCCUUCUGAAAACAAAUGAGAAUUUUGAUUAUAUGUGUCAUUCAAACUGCAAUUCCAUCUUAUUAAACAGUUCCAGGCAGUUGAUGCUGGGAACGCUGUAAUAAGGACUCCAACAUCUGAGACUGUUUAGCCGAAUUUGUUGGCCAAUUCCAUGUACUUAGUCAGAAAAUUCUGGCUGUGGCCAAGUGUACAAACUGAAAGGCAUAUGAAACAACAGAAAUUAGUGUUUUAUUAUGUCACUAAUAUUUGAAGUGCUUUAAGAUGGCAGCUGUUCAUUUCUGCACGUUACAAAACCUUAAGAAGAUUUUGUCAGUGCACACGUUGGCAUUGCAGGCUUGUUUGGCCUGAUGGUAAUAGGAGAAGGAGGAAUGGCUUUAGACUAAAAGAGGGGAGAUUUAGGUUAGAUGUGAGGAGGAAAUGCUUUGCUCAGAGGGCGGUGCAGUGCUGGCACUGCUGCUCAGAGCUGUGGUUGCCCAUCCCUGGAGGUGCCUGAGGCCACGGCUGGGCCCUGGGCAGACUGAGCUGCUGGGGGGCAACUGGGUGAUCUUUGAGGUCUCUUCCAACCUAAAGCAUUCUGUGAUUCUUUGGUUACAACUCAAGUGUGCAUUAAUCUUUUUUUCCCAAGCAGGUGCUGAUUCAUCAGCCCUGAUCCAAAGAAGGAUUCUGCAUUCUGCAUUUCUAGGCAUCAGAUGCUCAUGAAGGACAAGCUUGCUGGGAAAAUGCCUGACUGUAUGGCAGCUGAGGGGAUGAGUUCUGUCCACAGGAACACAGGACCUGCAUUUGUCCAUGGGAGGCCCUCAGUCAGGAAUGCUUUCCUAAGGAAGGUCCUUCCAAAUCUUUCUUUAAAAUAGAGCUAAUUGAUUUUUCUUAAUAAUUCACAUAUCAAUGCACAUCUCUAGUCACUCCCCAGAUAUCCAAGGAACAGACUGGGCUGUGGGGUAAGGUGAAUCCCUGCUAAAUCCAGGUUACUGAGCAGGGAGGAGUGAAAUUAAUGGAGGUGGAUGGAGAAUGCAAGUGAAGACGUAGAAUAACAUGACUGUGGGUGUGCAGAGGUCAGAUUUAAAAAACUACAGGUGGCAUCGAUUUGCUCAGGUCUCACCCAAAUGAGGGUUACCUAUGCACAUGUGCUGUGCAAACAGGAUAAAUUCCCCUGCCUUUGGUUAAUUGAUCCAGCUGGCCGGGAGACAGAUUCCUGCCCUCAGGCAUGGGAUUUUUUUAGGUUUUUGUUUCAUUCUUUUGGUGUUUUUUUUUUUCAAAUUCACUACUGAAUGUGAAAUGCAGCCUCUGCUGCUGGAGACUGCGGCGCAAAGGGGAUGUGCAGUGCAGCUGUGCGCUCCAUCCUGAUUCAGAGGUUGGCUGGGUUAAGGAGACUUCAGCCACCAGAGGAACAAACCAAUGGCCUCUCAGCACAUCUGUAGCUCCUGCCUGGAACCUGCACAACAACUUCCAGGUCAUAGCUAAUUUUUACCCCUCUCCUAUUUGCUCUGCUUCCCCUAAGGCCUCAUACAGAAAUACUUUCCUCCCAGCAGUGUCGGAGCAGACUGGGAAGCAUCGACUGGUGUUUAAGCCAAGGUUCCCCCCUGCAGAAUGGAUCCAGAGGAAUCCAACGCUCUGCACAUCACUGCAGCUCCCUCCACCCUAGGCAAAGAACAACUUGUAGGAGCUUUUCCCAUGGAUUGAGUAAGAUCCCAUUAAAAGGCCACCAGAGGGGGUAGCUUCCUCUGCUGCAGCGAAGACCCAGAGAGCAGCGCCAGCAUGGCACACAUUGCUGCUAUUAUUUAUAGUGCUCUACCUAUACUUAUGCAAGUGGUGCUAAUUAGUAGAUGGAAUUAGCCAACUGCUCUCGGCAGCAUAAUUGUAAAUAAUUUCCUAAUGUUUCACUCACUGAGUAAUGAGUUUCUCCUGGAAACACAAAAGAUGAACUACUGAUAAUCUGGCAGUUUCCAGCAAGAUGACAGACAUUAAUUAUAUGAGAUUAGGAUGUGAUCCUCCAUUUUAAGUCAGUUUGGGAUUUCUAGGCAGAGUUGAAUCUUAGGACUUAACAGACUCCCGUCUGCAGCAUUUUAUGGUCACUUGUUCGUUUGUUUUUCUGUGAUUUUAAGCCACCUUUUAGCUUUACUUUUCCCCCACACAUCAAGCCACCAGCAACUACUUUGCAGAUGGAACUGCUGGGCCUGAUUUCUGGCAAAGUUGUCCUGUAGUUAUACCUGAAAAGCAUAUACAGAGUCAAGAUAAUUUGUGUUUACAAAUGACUGUGCCAUCAGAGAAUUCCACUGCAUGUUCAGGGAUGGAGCUGGACUCCGGUUGCCUUUAUGCUCAGGCAGAUACCAACUGAAACAUGGGAUGUCAGCUCCAGAAGAGUGGUGCCAAUAACACCAGGAUGCAAAAUAUUCACUGACCGAGGUCAUGUCAGCAAACUGGACCUUAUCUUUGAUGUUUUUCAAGGGGCUUUGCUGACUGCUGAUGGUCCUUGAGAACUUCUUUUGAGCUAAGGGGUGAACACUGGAGCUGAAUUGGAAUCCCAGCUGCAUGGAGAAGCUCCAUCAGCUGACGCAGCUGUGUUUCUUCCUGAUUCAACAAGGAUUUUCUCAGGUUCUUCUUAACCAAGUCCUGACCAAAUCCCUCCUUCAGGAAGGUCGCAUUUAUCACUCGUGCAGGUAUGAAACCAGGAGCAAAGAUGUGGACUCAAGCUAAAGAAUUCCGUUUUUUACUUUUCUAGCUGAGGCCCAAUCAUUCUUAUGUAUUCUGAAUCAGACACUGGGUAGUUUCCAUAUUUGUAGGAAAAUGGAAUUUGGUUUAUGGUAAUCUUGCUGUUUUCUCCAUAUUCACUAGUUUUCUAUAAAUAAUACAAAUGCAUGAUAAUCACCUCUGGAACUGUUCACUAAAAUGAGAAAGGAGACGUUAUUCAUUAAAAUAAAAAGAUAUUCAUAGACAUUUGCUGGAAUGAAAUCCCCAAGCAUCAGGAUAUUCAGAAGCAGUGUUUGCUUUCUGAGCUUUUGCAAACAGACGGUUUCUAUUCCUGCUGCCGUUUGCUGCUGUGCCAACUUCGGCCUGCAACGAUGUCUUUUAAUUUCCCCACCUGUGCCCUGGGGAUGAUGACCCUGUGCCGUGUACACGGUGCUCCCCCUGCCUCCCCAGGGAAGGAGGGAGGGCACAGCAGAGCACAGCUAUAUGUGGAAGAAUAUCCUACUCCAGCCUCAGGAGCUGAGGUUCAACAAUCAUCACCAUUGAUGUUGCCUGAAAGCAAGAACCUUUGCAUUUCCCCCUGCAGCAGGUGGAGCCCAGCAGCACCGAUGCUCCCAGCUGCUGCCAGUUGUGUGCCCUCACCCAGCGCUGCACUCUGGGGCUGCCUACACCUCCCACACGUUGCACAGCCUCCAUCUGCACUGGCAAAUCGUGGCGUUAUUUUCUCUCCCUGCAACUUUUCCAUCAGCAGAAACAUCUCUCACCUCAAUUCACCUAAUUAACUGUCAGGAGUUGAUCUUUGGGCUGAAAUUGAUAUCUGGAGUAGAAAUGUGUGAACAAGCUUUACUGAUGGAUUUUGUUAUUUUUUGGUAAAUGGAAAACAGACUGACAAAGAGCUGGUUCAGCUGAAGGUUACUUAAUCUAUUUGUUUCUAUUAUUGUUGUUUUUUCUUGCUGUUUUUUUGUUUUUAAUGUAAUAACUUGAUAUUGAAUUGAUUUGUUUACCAGGCUAGCCUUAGUCACAUCCCUCUUUUGAGGGCAAUUUUAUGGAACCCUUACAAUUGAUAAUAAGAGCAGUCUUUACAAGUACUCCCAUCCUUCAUUCUCCAGCCACCUUUCAGCCCCAUGCAGGUCAGUGAGCCCCACGCUGCAUCUCACCAUGAGCUGCUCAGAGUGCUGCCAGACUGUAUGGAUUUGGGCUGAGGGUGUCUGCAGAAAAUUUCUGCAGCUGCUUUGGUCAGGAGAAUACUUCAGAGAAAGAACACAAAGGGAAAUUGUUUUACUCAUCCUAGCAGAGAACAACCCAGCAAUCUGUCCAUUGAGAAGGUCCACAAGGAUGGAUAGUGAUAGGACAAGGGGGAAUGGUUUUAAACUGAGGCAGGCGAGGUUUAGGUUGGAUAUUAGGAGGAAGUUUUUCACCCAGAGGGUGGUGACGCACUGAACAGGUUGCCCAAGGAGGCUGUGGAUGCCCCAUCCCUGGAGGCAUUCAAGGCCAGACUGGAUGUGGCUCUGGGCAGCCUGGUGUGGAGGUUGGCAACCCUGCACAUAGCAGGGGGUUGGAACUGGAUGAGCACUGUGGUCCUUUUCAACCCAGGCCAUUCUAUGAUUCUGUGAUUCUACGAUUCCACCUUGCUUUAGGGCUGGGAUCUGAAACUUCUUUUGAGGAUUUUCCUGUUUUGAAUCUACUCCAGAUGUGUCCCCUCCAUGCAUUCAUAGUAAUGGAGAUGUGUUACUGUAAAUGCUGCCUCCUGGUUUUGUUUGCAGCAGGCAUGCUCAGGUGCUGCUGGAGGAGAAGUGUAGGAGAGCACGGACCUGCAGAAAGCAAAUGGAGGCACAGGGCAGAGAGCUCCCCCUGCCCUUAUGGGCCUUUGCUGAUGCUCAGGCAGCAUGAAACGAUAAGUUACCAGCUUCCUCUUCCAUGCAUCCCACGUCCCAUGGCUCCAUGCAGGGCAGUAGCUGGGGAUGGCGUUCUGUGCAGGUUUUCCAUUAGUAUCCCCCCUUGGCUGGGAAUCCUGCUCCCUCAUUCAGAGCCUGUUGUUUUCUGGCUGGGGACACCUCUUUAUCUUCUGUCUGGAGUAAGAACUCAGGCCUUCACUGCUCGUUGCUGAAAAUAUUUCAUAAACAAGGGAAUAUUUAAGUUUUACAUAAAACAUUCACAAAAAGCAAUAUCUUAAUUCUUAUAUUUACCCAUUGGCAUUUACUGUUAUCUCCUAUCUUCUUCCAUUUGCGUUCCCCUUCCUUAUCUUAUGUUCAUCCUAAAGUACGUAAUAUCUAAAUUGAUUGUGUUUUGGUCAUAUCUAGGUGAGAACAGUCCAGUCUCAGAAGAUGAGCUGUCAGUUCAUUAUCUGUCUCUUUAAUUGCGCUUAUUUGGAGUUGGAAAGCCAAAUACUCUACUGGCAACUGUUGACACUAGAGGAGCAUUUGGCCAUCAAAAUCAUGUGCUUUCUAUUGUUGUAUUGUAUUUAUUAGCUCAUGUAGCACUUUUAAUUAAAUGCUGUUUCACAGUGA